rnacentral:piRNA from 1 species
UUUGGAAAUGCUAGUAAAGAA